UACGUAGGGGGCAAGCGUUGUCCGGAAUCAUUGGGCGUAAAGAGCGUGUAGGCGGCCAGAUAAGUCCGCUGUGAAAUCUCGAGGCUCAACUUCGAGCUGUCGGUGGAAACUGUCUGGCUAGAGUCCGGAAGAGGAGAAUGGAAUCCUGGUGUAGCGGUGAAAUGCGCAGAUAUCAGGAGGAACACCGGUGGCGAAGGCGGGAUCCUGGGCCAGUACUGACGCUGAGGAGCGAAAGCGUGGGGAGCAACAGG
rnacentral:rRNA from 1 species